CCUUGGCCCCCCAGCAUCCAGAUCUCUGGGUGCUCUAUUAAUGCUCCCUGGAGACAGGUUCCAGAGAAGCUCCCAGGAAAAGUCAAGAAAUGUUACGGAGCUGGACCCAGCGCCAACCAAGAACCCUUUCUAUGGCAUCUCUUACCAGAGGUCCCCUGGCCUCCCCAUGAAGAUCUCCCCCUCCACACUCCCCACUCUGGCUUGUCCCUACCCCCUGAGCUCCACCCGAAGGCAGGAGGUGACAGAGGGGUGGAUUUGGAGGCACAGCACUUGGGCUCUUUACCUGGGAGACCCUGGGAAACAGGAUGGAGAAGAGGGAACGCCAGGACCAAAGGCAGACAGGCCUGGAGGAGGCAGGGAACAAGGGCUCAGGCUGCACUCUGGGGCCAUCUGGAUCCUAAUCUUCGCAUCGUGGUGAAAUGGUUAAAGUUCUCAAGUUUCCUCCACUGGACAACCAGCAUACGGAGGUCGGAGGUCCAUAGGGGGAGCACAGAGCAGGCGAUCAUAGAACUCUAGAUCUGGAGCUAGAAGGGACCUCGCAGGCCAACAAGUGCUCACAGAUCAGGAAACUGAGAAAGAAGGCCCUAUCAACAGCACGUGCCUCCCCCGUGACUGUGAAGAUCUCUGUAAAGCGCUCUGCAAACCUUAGCACCACACGCAAAUGCCAGACACGGGGGCAGUUGUUAAGAAAAUGCAAAAUAACUCCUGACGGGAGGGACCACAGCUCCUGUAGAAGGCAGAGGCGAGAACCCCUGCCUCAGAGCUUCCACUCUACGGCCUCUGGACAGACAAGCAGACAAAACACCCUUUGCAAAGCAGAGCGACCCUAACAAGUGGAGGAUGAGGAAAGUUCUCGGGUAGGAGACGGCCAAUGCAGAAGCCAAGGCUCCUCUCGCCAAGGAUCGGACUCCAGAGGACCUAGCACCCAAGGCCCGGAGGUCAACCCGACCAAGCUCCCAUUUUACAGAUGAGAAAGCUGAGACCCAGCUGGGGGAAAGGACACGGCAGAGCUGGGCUCCACCUGCUGCCCACUCUGGCUCCCAGCACCCGUCCUUGGACUGGGGGUGAGGGGCAGGCAGCUGACCUCUGCCUCCAGAGUGAGUUGUUCCUCCCCCACCCCCUUACACUGGCCUCAGUCUCCCAACUUUCUCCUUCUGGAUUAGCUGGUUAUUAAGCACCCACUGUGUGCCAGGCACUGUGCUAAGGGCUGGGGACACAAAGGAAGGGGGUGGCCCA